rnacentral:rRNA from 1 species
CGGUUAAGUUAGAAAGGGCGCACGGUGGAUGCCUUGGCACUAGGAGCCGAUGAAGGACGGGACGAACACCGAUAUGCUUCGGGGAGCUGUAAGCAAGCUUUGAUCCGGAGAUUUCCGAAUGGGGAAACCCACCACUCGUAAUGGAGUGGUAUCCAUAUCUGAAUUCAUAGGAUAUGAGAAGGCAGACCCGGGGAACUGAAACAUCUAAGUACCCGGAGGAAGAGAAAGCAAAUGCGAUUCCCUGAGUAGCGGCGAGCGAAACGGGAUUAGCCCAAACCAAGAGGCUUGCCUCUUGGGGUUGUAGGACACUCUGUACGGAGUUACAAA